rnacentral:rRNA from 2 species
UUUGGUGGCGAUAGCAAAGAGGUCACACCCGUUCCCAUUCCGAACACGGAAGUUAAGCUCUUUAGCGCCGAUGGUAGUUGGGGGUUUCCCCCUGUGAGAGUAGGACGUUGCCAAGC